CGGACGGGUGAGUAACGCGUAAGGAACUUGCCCUGCAGUCAGGGAUAACAGACGGGAACGACUGAUAAGACCUGGUAAAGUCAGGUGGACUCAUGUCCAGCCUGAUGAAAAGAGAUGCUGCAGGAGAGCUUUGCGUCCUAUUAGCUUGUUGGUGGGGUAACGGCCCACCAAGGCGAUGAUAGGUAGCCGGCCUGAGAGGGUGAACGGCCACAUUGGAACUGAGAAACGGUCCAA
rnacentral:rRNA from 1 species